rnacentral:rRNA from 1 species
GAUGAACGCUGUCUACAGGCUUAACACAUGCAAGUCGAGGGGAAACGACGGGGAAGCUUGCUUCCCCGGGCGUCGACCGGCGCACGGGUGAGUAACGCGUAUCCAACCUGCCUCUGACUGAGGGAUAACCCGUCGAAAGUCGGCCUAAUACCUCAUGGCAUCGUCUGCGGGCAUCCAACGACGAUUAAAGAUUUCAUCGGUCAGGGAUGGGGAUGCGUCUGAUUAGCUUGUUGGCGGGGUAACGGCCCACCAAGGCUACGAUCAGUAGGGGUUCUGAGAGGGAGGUCCCCCACAUUGGAACUGAGACACGGUCCAAACUCCUACGGGAGGCAGCAGUGAGGAAUAUUGGUCAAUGGGCGGGAGCCUGAACCAGCCAAGUAGCGUGCAGGAUGACGGCCCUAUGGGUUGUAAACUGCUUUUAUGCGGGGAUAAAGUGAGGGACGUGUCCUUCAUUGCAGGUACCGCAUGAAUAAGGACCGGCUAAUUCCGUG